rnacentral:rRNA from 1 species
GAGUAUAAAGGCAAAAGCGCGCUUAACUGCGAGACCCACAAGUCGAGCAGGUACGAAAGUAGGUCUUAGUGAUCCGGUGGUUCUGUAUGGAAGGGCCAUCGCUCAACGGAUAAAAGGUACUCUGGGGAUAACAGGCUGAUACCGCCCAAGAGUUCAUAUCGACGGCGGUGUUUGGCACCUCGAUGUCGGCUCAUCUCAUCCUGGGGCUGAAGCAGGUCCCAAGGGUAUGGCUGUUCGCCAUUUAAAGAGGUACGCGAGCUGGGUUUAGAACGUCGUGAGACAGUUCGGUCCCUAUCUACCGUGGGCGCUGGAAAUUUGAGAGGAUCUGCUCCUAGUACGAGAGGACCAGAGUGGACGAACCUCUGGUGUACCGGUUGUGACGCCAGUCGCAUCGCCGGGUAGCUAUGUUCGGAAGGGAUAACCGCUGAAAGCAUCUAAGCGGGAAGCCUACCUCAAGAUAAGAUUUCCCUAGGACUUUAUGUCCUCUAAAGAGCCGUUCGAGACUAGGACGUUGAUAGGUUGGAUGUGGAAGCAUAGUGAUAUGUGAAGCUGACCAAUACUAAUUGCUCGUGAGGCUUGACUAUACAACACCCAAGCAGUUG